AAAAAACGAGGCAAUGGUAAAAUCAAUGAGCUUAUCUUUCUGAUAUAGAAAAUAACAGGAUGAUUGUUAAUACAUGUUCAGGAAUCUAAGAAAAUGUUUCAUAUAGGCCUAUCAUGUAGCAUUUUUAUUUGCAUAAUUAUAGUCAACAUAUGAUUCUCCAUAUAGGGGUCUCUCAUUGAGAAUGUUUCUUGUGUACCCAUAGAAAAGCCUCUUUGGUAGAUUUUCCGGUUUAUAAUUAUUUAAUCAGAAGAUACACGGGAAGUUCUUUUGUAUGUACCUGUAGAAUACAUCCCAGUAAGUGUCCUAUGGAGAAAGACCUGUUGUCAGCAAUAACCUUCAUUAUUCUAACUGUGAAACAUUCAUUAAUGCGAAUAAUAUUCUCAAAGGUUUUCUACAAUGAGAAUCAUCCAGUAAAGCUUUUUACUUGAGAAUUUAAAAGUUGUAAAGUUGUUAGUUAAAUGUGUAUAAUUAUCAAAACAGGUUGACUUUGGAAAACAAACUGAAUUUGCUAAGGGAAGGAAAACUUGAAAAUAAUCAUCUUAGAUGUGGAAUACAAUUUGACCUAAGCAAUUGUUUCAAAACUGUCUUCAGUUUCUUGAAAAUAAUUGUUAGGGCUGAUAUGAAAUGAAAUACAUAUCAAAACCGUCUUCAGUUUCUUGAAAAUAAUUGUUAGGGCUGAUAUGAUAUGAAAUACAUAUCUAGGCCAGGCACGGCGACUCAUGCCUGCAAUCCCAGCACUUUGGGAGGCUGAGGCGGAUUGAUCACGAGGUCAAGAGAUCGAGACCAUCCUGGUCAACAUGGU
rnacentral:lncRNA from 10 species